AUAGAAUGGAUUCCAGAUGCAACUUUAGGCAUUUUUUUUUGGUAUUGGAUUGCAAAAUCAUGUCUAUGGCUUUGGUGCGUGGGAUACGAAAGAAAAUUCCCUGGAGCUAAUUGUAUAUAUCGCGAAGGCUUAAUGCCGCUCUAUACUAAAAAUUAUGAAUAUGUUAAAGAUAUAGAAGCCACAUGGGACAAUGUUGUCUCUAAAUUAUUUCUAUUCAGCAAAGAAAAAAUAAAGAUUAAAUGAGGGGGGAGAAUACGAUGAAAAAAACGAAAAAUCUACAAUAUUAAAG